UUCCCCCGCCGCGAGACCCCGCCCCUGCACCGCAGCUCCCGCCGGGAGCACGCGCACCGCGUUUCCAAGGCAGCGGGCCACGCCGCACCACGUGACGCCAGCGCUUCCGGGUCGGGGCUCGAGGCCCUCAGAACGUGAGCACGUCGGAGUCCCGCGAGCAAGAGCGUCGCUCCGCCGCCUUCACGGCGGACGCCGCGGUCUUGCGCCCCCGUGCGUCUGGAGUAAAGAACGGCCCAGGUUUACGCUUCCCUCCCACGUGACUCGAGCGAGGCGGGCAAAGUCUCGCCGCAGGGUGAAUUCUUCCAGGAGGGGCAGCGAACGCUCGGCGACCGCCGCCUGAGUGCCUUCCCCGACGUGACGGCACCCGUGACGCUCGUCGACUCUAUCGGCCUCCACCCUAAACGAUGGUCGAAAUUAAAUCUACGACACCUGCCGGUCCCUGGUCUAUUUCAGGGUGGAGCCGGGCUGCAGAGUGGCGGAUGCACGUGGGACGGGCCCCUUGACAACUGACGCUUCUGCAGAAGGGAAGCCGGGGGUGCGGGUGUGAGAAGAGGCCCACCUAGGAAAGCGAGCAAGAGGGGAGGGCUGGCUACCGCCGCCUCCCGCCAGCGCCUCGAAAUACGAAACACACGGCCUCAAUUUUAUGCAGGAACUGGAUGCCGACUGAUUGGUUAAAUCGAACAUUAGAGGCUUGGGACCGUGUAAAGUGAUUUCAGUCAACCACUGCUGUACCAUGGGAGACUGGAGCACAGAAGAGCUGAAUGACGUACCCACUGCAGGUUCCUUGGUCAAGGCUGGAACGACAGCCCGUACGUCUCGAUUCUUCGUCUUGGGCUUUUUCCGCUAUAAUCACGCUGCCCCCCUCCUUAGGUCAUAGACUCCUCAACGUUCUUUUAGACACAAGCCGUGGUAACAAUGGCACUAACAACAAAAGACCUGCGUCAGACUGGUUGAAACCGAGAAUCCGGUGGCUCACGCAACAACCUAGUCCAGAGGCUCUACAGAUGAGCUAAAUGGCUGCCAAGUAAAGUCCUGACGUCACCUGAAGAUCUUGCCCUUCCCCCCCCCCUCCCCCACAACAGGCCUUCCAAAGUUGCAGAUUGCAUGCCAUUGGGUCUGAUGGGAUCGGGCACCAUUUUGGAAAUAGUCACCAUGGCCAGAAGGUACUAUUCUUACUAAAUAGGCCUCAAUCCCAUGUCUACCCAGAGUGUAGAGUCUACACCCUUUGAAAGACUUGUCUGAGGGUACACAUCAGGACCAGACAAGAGGGAGGCAGAGGGUGCCCAUCUGAACAAGAAUAGCCACUGUGGCCUAAAACGUUAAGUUUCUCCUUACCUCGUUCUCUCAGUAAAUUCACCUGCAUCCUCUGCUUUCCACCGUAGCUGUUUCGUGUCUCUGUCCAGGAACCUUUUCCUUUUGCAUAGCUCCUUUAAAGUUUUUAUAAGGUAAUGGGGCGCCUGGGUGGCUUCGUUGGUUAAGCGUCCAAUUUCGGCUCGGGUCAUGAUCUCACAGUUCGUGAGUUCGAGCCACGCAUCGGGCUCUGUGCUGACAGCUCGGAGCCUGGAGCCUGCUUCGGAUUCUGUGUCUCCCUCUCUCUCUGCCCCUCCCCCACUCAUGCUCUGUGUCUCUCAAAAAUAAAUGUUAAAACAAUUUUAUGAGGUAAAUAGUG
ensembl:lncRNA